rnacentral:rRNA from 1 species
CCUACGGGGGGCUGCAGUGAGGAAUAUUGGUCAAUGGACGCAAGUCUGAACCAGCCAUGCCGCGUGCAGGAAGACGGCUCUAUGAGUUGUAAACUGCUUUUGUACGAGGGUAAACGCAGAUACGCGUAUCUGUCUGAAAGUAUCGUACGUAUAAGGAUCGGCUAACCCCGUGCCAGCAGCCGCGGUAAUACGGAGGAUUCAAGCGUUAUCCGGAUUUAAUGGGUUUAAAGGGUGCGUAGGCGGUCGGAUAAGUUAGAGGUGAAAUCCCGAGGCUCAACUUCGGAAUUGCCUCUGAUACUGUUCGGCUAGAGAGUAGUUGCGGUAGGCGGAAUGUAUGGUGUAGCGGUGAAAUGCUUAGAGAUCAUACAGAACACCGAUUGCGAAGGCAGCUUACCAAGCUACUUCUGACGUUGAGGCACGAAAGCGUGGGGAGCAAACAGGAUUAGAUACCCUUGUAGUC